rnacentral:lncRNA from 1 species
GUCGACCAUGUCACCGAGAAGCACGUCAGAGUUCUGGCCAGGCACGGCAAGACAAUGUUGGGUGAUAGCGGAGCUGCUCUUAUUGCUCUUGUGGGCACCUUCCUCGUACGCAAACAUGGAUAAUUUGGGUGAAUCGUUUGCGCAAGUCUCCGGCGGCAACGCCUCUGAACCUGGACUGGUCCACCAGACGACCGACGCCGGAAUCUUUGACCCCGUCACCCCCCCCCGAUGGCCAGCAACUUGACAGAACCUGCGGUGUAAUUCUACUGCCAGAAUCGUUUGCCUUUGAUGUAAGCAGGCGUGUAGGCAAGCUCCAAAGUUAAAUCUGCUGCAAACUCAAGCAUGAUGCGACCGGGGAACUGACGGAGGGGUGGAUAGAGCAGAGGGAAGCAGGUCUUACCGUGUACAACGAACAGGAAUCCGACUGUGACAAGAUGAGCCGCUCCUCUGCAGAAAAGGGGCCAAGAAAUGAAAAUGUCGGACUGGUGUGAAUGUCUCCGAAGUGGUGCGGCUGUUCAGCGAUGUUGUCGCAACACUAGGCAUGGCGCUAAAUGUCCCUCAGCAACUGGAGGUGAAGAAAAUUGGUGCCGCAGUUCGAUUGCUGGUUCUUGGAUUCUCCAGCAAGCGUGUGAAAACUUUUUAAAAAUGACACAUAAAAUCCUUAG